CGCGUCUAGUUAGCAAUUAUACCGUGAAACUGCGAAUGGCUCAUUAAAUCAGUUAUCGUUUAUUUGAUAGUACCUUACUACAUGGAUAACCGUGGUAAUUCUAGAGCUAAUACAUGCUAAAAAUCCCAACUUCGGAAGGGAUGUAUUUAUUAGAUAAAAAACCAAUGCCCUCCGGGGCUCCUUGGUGAUUCAUAAUAACUUCUCAGAUCGCAUGGCCUUGCGCCGGCGACGGUUCAUUCAAAUUUCUGCCCUAUCAACUUUCGAUGGUAAGGUAUUGGCUUACCAUGGUUUCAACGGGUAACGGGGAAUUAGGGUUCGAUUCCGGAGAGGGAGCCUGAGAAACGGCUACCACAUCCAAGGAAGGCAGCAGGCGCGCAAAUUACCCAAUCCCGAUACGGGGAGGUAGUGACAAUAAAUACUGAUACAGGGCUCUUUAGGGUCUUGUAAUUGGAAUGAGUACAAUUUAAACCUCUUAACGAGGAACAAUUGGAGGGCAAGUCUGGUGCCAGCAGCCGCGGUAAUUCCAGCUCCAAUAGCGUAUAUUAAAGUUGUUGCAGUUAAAAAGCUCGUAGUUGAACCUUUGGCCUGGCUGGCGGGUCCGCCUCACCGCGUGCACUCGUCCGGCCGGGCCUUUUCUUCUAGAGAACCGCAUGCCCUUCACUGGGUGUGUUGGGGACUAGGACUUUUACUUUGAAAAAAUUAGAGUGUUCAAAGCAGGCCUUUGCUCGAAUACGUUAGCAUGGAAUAAUAGAAUAGGACGUGCGGUCCUAUUUUGUUGGUUUCUAGGACCGCCGUAAUGAUUAAUAGGGACAGUCGGGGGCAUCAGUAUUCAAUUGUCAGAGGUGAAAUUCUUGGAUUUAUUGAAGACUAACUACUGCGAAAGCAUUUGCCAAGGAUGUUUUCAUUAAUCAGUGAACGAAAGUUAGGGGAUCGAAGACGAUCAGAUACCGUCGUAGUCUUAACCAUAAACUAUGCCGACUAGGGAUCGGGCGGGGUACUAUUUUGACUCGCUCGGCACCUACCAAAAAUCAAAU
rnacentral:rRNA from 1 species